UGUGUAAGCGAAGCGAUAUGUGGAGCGGUGAAAGGCUCAGUAACGGGCGAUUUAUUUGAUCUCCUGGGACGGACAACAUCGGGAAACUGAUGGGAAAACGUCUAAGUUGCAGUAUAUUUAUUGUGACGUAAACCUUUGUGUGCAGGAGAGUAAGAUGCCAUCCUAUCAGUUAGUAAGUAGGGUAAGGGCCUACUUAGACGAAGACGGGUACGGGGAAUGAGGGUUUGAUUCCGGAGAGGGAGCCUGAGAGAUGGCUACCAGGACCAAGGUCAGCAGCAGGCGCGAAAAUUAUCGAAGCCCGCCUAGGGGCGAUAGUGAGGAGACGUGUAUACGAAGUACGUGUAAAGACCGUACUAAUAACUGGAGGUCAAGUCUGGUGCCAGCAUCCGCGGUAAUUCCAGCUCCAGGGGUGUCUAUGAUGAUUGCUGCGAUUAAAAAGUCCGUAGUCGAGCUGACUGACUGACCUGCAAUGUGAUUGAUUAAAGAACGAGCAGGGUUAGGAAAGCAGAGAAUUAGGAGCGACCGAGGGCUAGAGUAUUGAAUGGCGAGAGGUGAAAUUUGAUGACCCAUUCAGGAGUGACAAAGGCGAAGGCACUAGUCAAGGGCGAAUCCGAUGAUCAAGGACGUAGGCUAGAGUUUCGAAAACGAUUAGAGACCGGAGUAGUUCUAGCAGUAAACUAUGCCGACACCGUGGUAUUAACUUUUAGUAUUGCGGAAGAGAAAUCAAGUAAGGCUUUGGGGAGAGUACGCGCGCAAGCGAUAAAUUUAAAGGAAAUUGACGGAGGAACACCACAAGGAGUGGAGUG
rnacentral:rRNA from 1 species